AGGAAAGAAAGAAGGGAGGGAGGGGAAAAGAAGGAAAUCUAAGAGUGCUCAGGAAGCACAAAAGUGGGGCUUCUCAAUCAGCCAGGAUGGGGAACAGGAGGGGGUGGGAAGAGGAGUAAAGAAUUCACAGAGAAGGUCCCUCCUGUUGAUCCGCUCAAAGAGGCCAAGAGCGAGCAGCCAGGCUGCCUCCGUCCCGAAAUGGCCCGUGAGCAGCUGGGCCAUGUCCAGGGGACCGGCUGUCUCCAUUCGUCCCCAAGGGAUCUUGUCUUCCCCACGCUCCGUCACGGUCCCCAGGAAUGCUAAGAACAUGGAUGAGGCCCAUUGCUAACUGGCUCCCAAGGAACUUGUGUGGAAGAAGGAGGUAAACAAUGUUGCUGGAAAGAAGAAAAUUGGCAAAUGUCUGGAGCCACAAGAAUAAAUCCAUCCCAGCCUCUGCCUUCAAGGACCUCAGGGUCUAAAGACAAGAAGCAAAAAUUUUUCAUGAGGGCCAAUUCAGGGGAAACUGAAUAUGUUUCCUGAGAUUUUUUUUUCCACCAGGAAAAUAUGAUUUUCUGAUUACUAAAAUGCCAUAUCUGUAUUGUAAAACAUUUCACUGUUUUAAUAAAUAGAAAGAAACAUAA